GUGGCUCAUGUCAAACACUUGAUGACUGUGACGGUCAGCUCAUAUGCAUCAACGGUAAAUGUAAAGACGACCCCGAAGUCGGGACUCACAUAUGCGGGGGAAGUUCAAGUACCCCUUCCCCUCCGGUCUCCUCCUCCACGCCUGCCAUUCUAACUAACAACAAUUUUGAAAAAUGAGGGGACGGUGGAGGCCCAUCGGAGUGCGACGGCAAAUACCAUGACAAUUCAGAGCGCAUCGUAGCAUUGCCAACUCGGUGGUAUGAUGGGGGAUCCCGGUGUGGGAAGAUGAUUAGGAUAACGGCUCCAAGUGGGAGGAGCGUGUUGGCCAAAGUGGUGGAUGAGUGUGAUUCAGCGGACGGCUGUGCGAAUAACAUAGUUGAUGGAUCUGAUGGUGUGUGGGCUGCUCUGGGGCUGGAUAUCAAUCUUGGUGAAGUGCACGUUACUUGGUCCAUGGCUUAGAUAUCCGUAUGGUUAAUGAGUUGGGUUGGUUUUUUGUGUUCCCCUCUACUUUGGUUAUGAUGUAAUUUUGCAGCAAUAUGCACUGAAAUAAAAUAGCUGGAAGGCGCUAGCCCAGUGCCACCAGAACCCCAUUGACUGGUUUGAUUAAUAAAGAGUGAUUAUCGGCAGAAUGAACUACUUCAAGUCUUCAACCAUCACAUCGAUUAAUUAAUAAAGAAUCCCAUCAACUGUUGUUAUCCUCCUUAUACACAUUGAUUAAUUAGGCUUUAUAAACACCUACGAAACUUAAAGAUUGUUUUCCCUGAUGAUCAGUACUUCACAGUUACUUUGUUCACCACAACAUACAUCGUCUGAACAUUGGGCAGCAGCCGAUUAUUGUCUCUGUACCAUUAAUUAUCGAUCCUAAUCAACUCAUUUUUAUCCAAUCGUACUGGGCAGUACUUACAAGACAAGUCUUUAUUAUUAUUUUUUCAACAUUACAGCUAUCAAGAAAUCAUUUAAGCUUAUUAUUUUAAUUUGUUGAACAAGUUAACUUCAUUGCAUAGUUAUUAAACCACCUAUUAAUAAAUAAUUUUUAUUUUUAAUAAAUUAAUAUAUAAAAUUAAAUAAACCCAAUCCAGUUAUUAAAAUAUCGUUGAGCUAAAAAAAUGAGCUUAUUUCUCAAAUAAGCUGGAGGGGCUCGAACCCUCACAAAAUAUUUAAGGAGUGUCCAAUAUACCACUAAAUUAAUUAUAAUUAUUUUAUAAUUAAAUAAAAAAAUUUCAUUUAGUAGAUUAAAAAAAAUAUAAAAAUUAUCAAGAUAAUUUUCUUUAUAGUGUUUUUAAUAUUAAAAAAUUAUACAUUUAUCAUCAUUUACUUUAUAUCAUUUAAUACAGUUGAAUUAAAUGUAUCAUAAUUUUAAUAUUAAAUAUAUUUAAAAAUUAGACAUAUUACAAUCAAAUAUCACAAUAUUAUUAUCGAAUAAUAUUUUAUGUAAUUUAAUAAUCAAUGUACACUUUUAUUUAUGUAAUUUAAUAAUCAAUGUACACUUUUAUAUAUAUAUAUAUAUAUAUAUAUAUAUCAAUUUCUUCAACAAAACAAUUUUAAAAAGUCUAUUAUACUUCUAAUUUCAGUUUUAAGAGUUUUUUUUUAUAUAUUUUCAUAAAUUUUGAUCAAAUUUAAAUUAAUCGAUAUUUUUUAUCAAAAUAUCUGUCUAUAUAUCCAUAAAAUCAAAAUAUCGAUAUAUUCGUGAUUACUGAUAAUUUUAUCCUUGACCCAAUCAUUAGUAAAAAUAAAUAUUACACCCAAUAAAUUAUUUAUAUAUAAUAUUAUAAUCUAAACUAAAUUAUGUAUAAAUAAAUUUGUUCAAAGAAAGUACAUGUCAAACAAAUUUUCAUUUAAUUCCUAGUAAUUUGUUUUAAACAUAUUAAAGUAGUUGAAAUACAAAUGUUCAAUCAAAGUUUUAUUUAAUUUUUAAUCUAUCAAAUGAGAAUAUCAUCAAACUUCCUAUAAGAAAACAUUGCUUUCCACAUAAAAGAAUCAACUCCAAAUUAAAUUUGCACUAUCACCAAUAUCUGCUUCAAAAAUUACACAAAAACCUAAAGUUUAGUAGUACAAAUUAAGUUUUCAAUAUCAUAUACUAUUUUUGAAGAAUUCUCUUGUCACUAUAAACAAAUACUUGUCUUUAUGAUAAAAUUAAUUUGAGUAAGGAUCUAAGGUAUAACUUACUUGCCCUAAGAAAAUUUUAACUUCAACCAUUUCAAAUAUAAGAUCGCGUUAUACCUCAAAUAAUAGAGUAUAAUAGUAUUAAGAAUUCAAUAAACUACUACUACUUCUUCUUCUUCUUCUUCUUUAUUUUAAGCAAAAUAAUAUAUAUUUCAUCAUAAACCAUACUAUUUUAACUUCAACCAUUUCAAAUAUAAGAUAGAGUUAUACCUUAAAUAAUAGAGUAUAAUAGUAUUAAGAAUUCAAUAAACUACUACUUCUUCUUCUUUAUUUUAAGCAAAAUAAUAUAUAUUUCAUCAUAAACCAUACUAUUUUAACUUCAACCAUUUCAAAUAUAAGAUAGAGUUAUACCUUAAAUAAUAGAGUAUAAUAGUAUUAAGAAUUCAAUAAACUACUACUUCUUCUUCUUUAUUUUAAGCAAAAUAAUAUAUAUUUCAUCAUAAGCCAUACUAUUUUAACUUCAACCAUUUCAAAUAUAAGAUAGAGUUAUACCUCAAAUAAUAAAGUAUAAUAGUAUUAAGAAUUCAAUAGACUACUUCUUCUUCUUCUUCUUCUUCUUCUUCUUCUUCUUCUUCUUCUUCUUUAUUUAAGCAAAAUCAUAUAUUAUUCAUCAUAAACCAUACUAUUUAUCAUUAUCCUAAUAAUACUAAACUCAAGGUUACGUAUAAUAAAAUGAAAUAUCUAAAAGUAUUUUUUUGAAUUCUAUAUAUGUUAAAAACUAGUAUUAAAUUAAGAAAAAUAAAAUAAAGAAAAAGAGUAUUAAUGCAUGUUUACAGCUAAAUAAUGCAAAGAUUGAGUGUCAUUUUGAUAAAAAGGCCACGAAGUACGUGAUACAUAGGAUUUGGUUAUCUCAAUGUAUUAAAACCAAUGCUAAAACCUGCUUGAAGAAAAAAAACUAGAAUACUCAUACCCUAAUUAAGUACCACAAUAAAUUAAUAUCAUAAAACAUUAUAAUAAAUUUACCUUUGAUUAGAAUUUGUAUUCAUCUCAAGUAACCAAACAAAUUACCUCUAAAUUAUUUUAAAAUUUUGCAUAGUUUAGUUCACAUCAUUGAAAAUAAAAAGGUUUUUCAAAUGUCAUGAUCACUAUAUAUUUUCUAUCAAUGCAUAAUUUCAAUAAUUAUGUAAUCUUGCUUUUACAUUGAUACAUGGAAGCCACUCGCUUCUUAUUUCACAACUCGUCAUUUGAACACUUAACCAAUAAAUGUUUUUUUUUUUUCCGUUUUUUCUUAAUUUUAAAUUUUUUAUUUAUCUUUUCAUUUAAAUAUAGAAAGAUCUUUAUUACAAAUGUAUUUAAAAUAAAAAAUAUUUAGAGCUAUUAAAAAUCUAUUUAAAUUGAAUUUAUUUAUAUCUAAAAGAUUUUUAUUCUUUUUAAGUUUUUAAAAUGUACUAUAAACUAGUGUAUCUGUUAGCCAACGAUUCUCCAGAUCGUGUUUUGAUGAUAAAAAAGCAUAGUUAAGUUGUUAAUUUUUUUUGAAUUAUAAAGAAUUUCAAGUGUUAGUUUGAAAAUCCAUUAAAGAACCCAAUGGAUGUAAGAUAAAGACAAUUGGAAAAUUUUACUCAUAGAAAACAUAUAUAAGAUGAAUGCAUGGAUGCAUUUAGGUUUUUCAUAUCUUUUCAUGCAUCUUUAAAAACUCAGUUUAUGCUUUAAAGUUACAUUUACAUCAAAACUUAAGUUUUAUUAAAUGAACUUUAGGCAAAUCAUUUCAAAAUUGGCAUAAUAAUUUACCUAAAAACCUUACCUAAGUGUUAGAAGAAAAAAAAACAUAAAAAAAAAAAGUUUUUGGGCCAAAAAUUGUAAACCAGUCGAGGCACUGGCCAACUAGCUCAAUUGACUAGGGUGCCGAUCAACCGAUUACACCUUCUCGAUCGAGGUCCGAUUGAGAGAUGCAAAAAAUCUUCUCUCUCUUCCAAUAGCCUUGCAUUCUUGAUCGAGGAAUAUGUCUUCCCGAUCGAGGCCUAACGGUCACCUAACAAGCAUUUAUUGCCCAAUAGUUAGUUAACCAGUCGACCUCCAGCUCGACCAAUCAAGGUUAUUUUUUUUUUUGGUCUUUUUGGCUCUCAAGGCUAUAAACUUAUAAAUUGAGAACUCGACUUCAUUUAUGAGUAAGAGAACACCUACAUUUAUUUGUCUACCUACUUGUUCUUGCCUCAAAAACUUUAAUUCUUUCAUUAGUUCAUUAAAUUUUCAUUUGCAUAUUCCUUAAUGCACCCUUAUGAUUCAUCCUAGCAUUUGAGUUGUAUUUAAGCCCUUGUUGAGCUAGGUUGAAAGAUUUGAUUUUGUUAUUCGAUUGUUAGAACCUUUAAGUGAGUAAAGACUUGAAAAUAUUGUAUAAGAGCUCAUUUGAGCUAAAAUCCAAGUGUAAAUGUGUCAGAAGCUUGGUUGAAACUUCAAAUAUAGUAGAACCCUCACUCGGUUAGGAGCUUGAGAAGAGUGGACGUAGGCAAGGGGUGUCGAAUCACUAUAAAAUCUGAAUUUGCUUCUUCGAACCUUAUCUCUUAUGUAUGUGCUUCCUUUACUUGAAUUUGUUGUGGUUGAAAACAAAAAUUAAAACCCAAUUCACCCACCCCUCUCUCUAUCUCUCUCUCUCUCUCUUUACCUCUUGGGUGUUUUCUCUAUUAAGAUUAGUCUUUAUUUUCUCAGUAUCUAAGAACAUAAAUAUGUGUUUUCACUCUUAAUAGCCCAAAAUAGAUUCUUUUUAAUCCAAUUAAUUCAUUUGAGAAUAUAUGGAAGAAUAAAAACCAAUCAAGACACAAGACAAAAGAUUAUUUACAUGGAUUUCCAUACAACAUGUGGAAAUAAAAAAACUAAAAAAAAUACCAUAGAGUCAAAGACCUCAAAUUUAUAAUCCACUUAUGAGAGUACAACAAAGUUUUACCUAACAGACAUUAUCCCUAAGACUUACUCUUCAAUACUCAUACUGCAUUUUACAUCCGCGAUACAACACCUUGUGUGCUCCCAAUGGAUCUCACCUUAGUAUUUGAAGGGAUGUAGAUCUCUUUCACAAUCUAACAAAAGCAAACAUGAACACUUCUUUGAGAGUUUUGGAAAGAAUAAGACAAAUUAGAUUUUCUAAUUCAGAAGCACUAAGCCAAAAACCUUUUUAAGCAAGGCAUAUGUAGGCCUAGAGACCUAGUGGAUCGAUACUUAGAAAAUCCUUGAUUUAAAUCCAUUAAAAAAUGGAAAGAGUGAACUCCAAAAUUUUGGAGGAUUCUAUCUCAUGUGCUUAUGCGCCCUUAUAGCCCUUGAGUGCUCUUCAAGCAUUGAAUUUAGUGCUCUUUCUCUUUUCUUUUUGGGAGAAUUAUGUUUUAGAGGUAGAUAAGCCCCCAAAUUAACAAAAUGUUCAUAUAACUCUUCAAAUUGAGUUGAAGGAUAUGAAAUAGUAACGGACAAAUAUACCCUUUAAGAACACAUAAAAUAUUUUAUAAAAUUAAGUUAAAUAAAAAAAUUUUAAUAAUUUUUUUUUCAAAAAUACUAAAUUAAAUAAAAGUGGUUUUCAAAAAUAUUAAAUUAAAUUUUUUUUUCAAAAAUAUUAAAUUAAAUAAUUUUUUUAAAUAUUAAAUUAAAUAAAAGUAUUUUUAAAAAAUAUUAAAUUACAUAAAAGUAUUUUUAAAAAAUAUUAAAUUAAAUCAAAAAUAUUUUUAAAAAAUAUUAAAUUAAAUAAAAGUAUUUUAAAAAAUAUUAAAUUACAUAAAAGUAUUUUUUAAAAAUAUUAAAUUAAAUCAAAAAUAUUUUUUAAAAAUAUUAAAUUAAAUAAAAGUAUUUUUCAAAAAUAUUAAUUUUUUUCUCAAAAUCAACAAAGGACAUUUUUGGAAAUACUGAAGGAUAAUAUCCUUCAACUCAAUUUUCAUACUUUCAUUGAGUCUUGGGAUCAAUUUGAAGAGUUACACGGACCUUUUGUUAAUUUGGGGGCCCAUCUACCCCUAAAACAUAAUUCUCCCUUUCUUUUUUUCUUCUCUCUCUCUAUAUAUAUAUAUAUAUAAUAAAAGGUUAAUUAAUUUUAUUAUAUUUUACAAAUAGAUUUAUACUUUUUCUUGCAUUAUUUUAAAAUAAAAUUAGAGUAAAGAAAAUGAAAAAUAUAUGAACAAAUUUAAUUUUAGUAUUUUUAUUUUUAAAAACGAAUUUUCAUUUUGCUCAACCCAAAGCUGUUUGGAAGUGAUCAUUUUCAAAAGUAUGGGAAACCAAAGGCAGCUAGAGAUUUAGUUAUAGUGUGUAGCAUGUGCAAAGACUUUGAACUCAAACCACCAAGGUGUACAACCUCUCUCUCCCUUAAUUGCAUUCGUUCACGAUCCCUUUAGAUACUUCUUCCCUUUUGGGUCAUGUAAAGUAGUGGCAAGACAAAUCCGAAUUGAUUCCUUACUAUAUAUAUAUACUUCUUCCCUAAUAUCUCGUGAUCACGAUCCCCUUUAGAUACUUCUUCCCUUUGUGGCAAGAAAAAUCCGAAUUGAUUUCUUACCAUAUAUAUAUACAUAUGAUAUGAUGUUCCAUAAUACGGUCAAAUAUAUUUACUUUUAAAGUUUCUUUCUCCACAUUAUUUUUCUUAUAUAGUAGAUUUAAAAUAUUCUUUAUCUACCCAUUUGCCGAUGCAUGUUUGUAAUUGUGGGAGUCAUUAGCAUUAAUUAUUGAAGGCAUGUGUCUAACCUAAAAAGAAGUUAGCAUUAUCGAAGGCCUAGUCUUAUGGAUGUGACUAAAGGAAGGAGAGGCCAUCAUACUCAUCCUAGUGCCAAUUAACUCAAAAUGACUGAGGAUAAUUCUUUGAUGGGGUAAUUUUUGAACAAGAUGAUAUUAUAUGAUAAGAAAAAGGUCUAUGUGAUAUUUGAAUAUAAUUUGAUAUUUACUUUGCUUAAAAAAAAAACUUUAAAAUAUUAAAAUGAGAGUCCAUAAAAAUUGAAGAAUGAUUUUUAUAAUUUAAAAAUAAAUAUAGUAAAUGCGUCACAUCAAAUUAUGGCACGCCACCUAAGAAUAGGAUAAGGAACCUAAAGUACAAAGAUCCGUCAUUUUCAAAUUGUGUGGCGGGUUGAGUGUGGGGAAUAUCAUCCUAAGAGUGAGACUUUUCUCAAUAGUACAGUAAUUUUAAAAAGUUAUGCUUAAAUUAUUAUAGUAGAAGAAGUUAUUAUAAAUAUAUGGUAGUUUUUGCCACCUAAGAGAGAGGAGAGAGAGUGAACCGAUAAAUUUUUUUUAAAACCAAAAUUGUCUUUUCAAAAGACGAUUUUAAAAAAAUUUCAAAAGGUAAAUCGUCUCUUCAAGAGAUGAGUUCCAUGGAAAAAAAUAUAUAUUUUUUUAAAAAAAAAUUCCUUAAGGGAACUCGUCUCUUCAAUAAACGAGUUCCACAAAAAAUAUAUAUAUAAAUUCCCAAAAAAAAAAAACACAAUUCCUCAAUGGAGCUCGUCUCUUCAAGAGAUGAGUUCCAUGAAUAUAUAUUUUUAAAAAAAUUCUCAAAUUAUAAAAAAAAAAAAAAAAAAAAGGAAAAUUCCUCAAGGGAACUCGUCUCUUCAAGAGACGAGUUCCCAUGAAAUUUUUUUUUUUUAAAAAAAAAUAUAUUCCCAAAUUAAAAAAAAAAAAAAUAUUCCUCAAGGGAACUCGCCUUUUUUUUUUUUUUUUUUUUUUUUUAUAAUUUGGGAAUUUUUUUAAAAUAUAUAUAUAUAUAUAUAUUCAUGGAACUCGUCUCUUGAAGAGACGAGUUCCCUUGAGGAAUUUUCUUUUUUAUUUUUUUUUUAUUUCGGGAAUUUUUUUCGUUCCCUUGAGGAAUUGUUUUUUUUUUUUUUAAUAAUUUGGGAAUUUUUUAAUAUAUAUAUAUAUAUAUAUUUUCAUGGAACUCGUCUCUUGAAGAGACAAGUUCCCUUGAGGAAUUUUCUUUUUUUUCUUUUUAUUUUUUUAAUUUGGGAAUUUUUUUUCCAUGGGAACUCGUCUCUUGAAGAGACAAGUUCUCUUGAGGAAUUGUUUUUUUUUUAUAUAUAUAAUUUGGGAAUUUUUUUAUAUAUAUAUUUUCAUAGAACUCGUCUCUUGAAGAGAGGAUUUCCCUUUUGAAAUUUUUUUUAAAUCAUCUUUUGAAAUUUUUUUUAAAUCAUCUUUUGAAAAAACUAUUUGAAAUUUGAAAUGAUGAUUUUGGUUUUAAAAAAAAAUUAUCUACUCACCCUCUCUCCUCUCUCCUAAGUGGUAAAAACUACCGUAUAUUUGUAAUAACUUCUUCUACUAUAAUAAUUUAAGCAUAACUUUUUUAAAUUACCGUAUGAGAAAAGUCUCCUAAGAGUGAAGCCGCGAGCUGAGAGAAGUCCCACUGGCACUAAAAUUAGAGAAGGCUUCAGUUACGUCAUGAACCGAAAGAUUGAAGUGAAGCCAUCUAGAGGAGCCUUGCAAAAAAAAAUAUAUAUGGUGGAGCCGCAUUAGGGCAUGGGGUGAGUACAUAAGUGGAUGCAAGCUUCAUCCGUUGUCCAUUAAGCCUCUUUGGGUUACUGAAUACUGAGAGUAGCUCCAAAUUGCAAUGGCAAAUUCACCUGUAGUGUGGUUAGCAUCGGUGUGCCUUGUGUUCAAUAUCUUGUCCCUUCCAUUCCUAGCAUUGGGCUUAUCUUCUUGUGGUGGCUCAUGUCAAACACUUAAUGACUGUGAAGGUCAGCUCAUUUGCAUCAAUGGUAAAUGUAACGACGAUCCCGAGGUCGGGACUCACAUAUGUGGAGGAAACUCGAGUACCCCUUCCCCUCCAUCCCCCAGUACCUGCCAGCCCUCGGGAACUCUUGCGUGCAAGGGCGGAAAACCCAAAAAUACCUACACAUGCUCUCCUCCGGUCACCUCCUCCACGCCUGCCGUUCUAACUAACAAUAAUUUUGAAAAAGGAGGAGACGGUGGAGGCCCAUCCGCUUGCGACAACAAAUACCAUGACAAUUCAGAGCGCAUCGUAGCAUUGUCAACUGGGUGGUAUAAUGGGGGAUCCCGGUGUGGAAAGAUGAUCAGGAUAACGGCUCAAAAUGGGAGGAGCGUGUUGGCCAAAGUGGUGGAUGAGUGUGACUCCAUGCACGGCUGUGACAAAGAGCAUGCAGGUCAGCCCCCCUGUGAUAAUAACAUAGUUGAUGGAUCUAAUGCUGUGUGGAAUGCUUUGGGGCUGGAUAUCAAUAUUGGUGAAGUGGACGUUACUUGGUCCAUGGCUUAGGUAUAUGGUUGGUUGGUUACUCGGUUUUUGUGUGUACGUACGUACCCUCCUCUUUGUGUUCCCCUCUCUAUUUUGGUUUGUAUGGCUCCGCCAAGCACUAUUUUUAUGUAAUUUUGCAGCAAUAUAUGCAUGCACUGAAAUAAAACUGGAAGGCACUAGCCCAGUGCCACCAGAACCCCAUUAAGUGGUUUGAUUAAUGAAGAGUGAUUUGCGUCACGAUCUACUUGAACCAUCACAUUGAUUAUUAAUGCAACGCCUAAACUACAUCAACUUCCAAUGAGUAUUUUAUAUUAAUUUGACAUUGAGAUUCACCUUAUAUAUAGCAAUACUGAUCUUGGGAAAAUACAUAUUUUAAAAUUAAAAAGUUGUAAAAUCGAAAGAAACUUAAAAAGUAAAAAGAAAGAAAAGAAAAGAACAUAGAAGGUCUUAUCUAAUGGGUGGUACUAGAUCACUUUGAUGAGGUCGCAGUGAAGAAAUUAACAAGAUCCCCAGGAAAGAGAUGCUGUGCAAUAAGAAAUAUCAUCCUGGAACCCAAAUAUAAAAAGCCCCAUGGAGUUAUUGACGGGUACAUCAGUCAUAUAUAUACAUAUAUAAUACUUUGUCUUGAUCUAUACUUUUCAACAGUUUUUCUAUUAUUGUCUAUCCUAAUACAAGAUAAUUUAACUGAUAAAAGCCUAAGUGCCUUAUACCUAAACCAGAUUUCAUAUCUAUUUAUCUAUUAAAUAAUUUAAAAUAAAAUAAAAUAAUUAAAGUUAGAACACAAAUUAACUCUGAGAUAUGGAACUUAAAUGUUGAUUUUGUCACUUACUAGUCCAUAUUCAAAGUUGGGUUGUAGAAACCCAAUCUUGAUUAGUUGAAUUAAAAAUCAAUAAUUAGGGAAGAUAAAAAAAAACCAAUCAACACACAAAAUAAAAUAUUUUUAACAUGGAAAACUUUCAUGCAAUAUGAAGAAAUAAAAAGUCAGAAGUCAUAAACUUCAAAUCUACAUCUAUUAUAUGAGAAUACAAUACACACUUUUAUCUAGCAGAUUGCAUUUGAAUCUCAUCUUAGCGCUUAAAAUGAUGCAAAUCUCCUUCACAAUCCAACAAAGACAAACAUGAACACUUCCUUGAAAGCUUUAAGAAUAAGAAGACAAAUUACAUUUUCCAGCUAGAAAAACUAAGCCAAAAACCUUUUUGAGUAAGGUAUAUGUACGCCCACAGACUUAGUGGACCAAUUCUCAAAAAAUCCUCAUGCAAUUUAAAUCCUUUAAAAUUGGAAAGAGAAAACUUUAGAAUUCUAGAGGAUUCUAUGUCGAGUGCUCAAGCACCCUCAUAUAGGGAUGACAACGGGGUGGGUUCGGGACAGGUCGCCCCCAUCCCAACCCCACCCCGUUUAUUCGAAAUAAUUCUCAUUCCCAUCCCAUUUAAAAAAUUAAACGGGAUGGGACGGGCCGAGGCGAGUAUGAUAAAUUUUCAUACUUGUCCUGUUUAACUUUUUUUUUUUUUUAAUUUUUUUUAAAAAAAUUACUUUUAAAUUUUUAAUUAUAUUAAAAUAAAUAUAUUUUAUAAAUAAUUAAAUUAUUAUAUUUUUUAUAACUUAUUUUAUUAAAAAUAUUUUAUUAUUAUCUAUAUAUUAAAAAUAAUAAAAUAAAAAUUAAAUUAAAUUAAUUUUAAAUUAUAAAUUAAAUUAAAUUUAAAAAUUAAUUUUAUAUAUAAUCGGAGCAGGGCUGGGUGGAGUGGGGCAAUACCCGAACCAGUCCCGAGUUUUUAAAAAAAUUCUCAAACUCAUCACAAACCUAUUUAUUAAAAUUAAACUCCGUCCCAUUAGAGACGGGACGAGGCGGGUACCCGAAUAAACCCGCCCCAUUGCCAUCCCUACCCUCAGAGCAUUUGAGUGCUUCUCAAGCAUUGAAUCCAGGCUUCAAGGUUCAUGUAGUUUUUAAACCCUAAAAAAAAAUUCAUUUUGAUCAAUUUUAAAAACUCGAUGGAUGUCAUGCUACACCAACUACUAAUUUGUCUUUCUAAGACAUUUCUAUACUUACCAAACUCAAUCGAUGCCAUGUUAUACCAAAAUAUGUAUAUAUAAACCAUUUUAACAAGAUUUUAUUGAUUUUAGUUUUUAAAAAUAGUUUUUUAUUAACCAUAUUUUAGUAAAGGGAAAAAGAGAAAUUCUUAUUAGUAAAUGUUUUCUAAAACAAAUGGAACCCAAAACUCUAAAUGUGCUUUAGAAAUUUUUUGGAAAACCAAAACCUGUUUUCUAAAAGGUUGAAAGAAAGAUAAUAAACAAAAUCUUGUGAGAUCCUUCUAUAUGAAUAUCAUAAAUAUAAAUGAAAAUGAAAAUGAAUAAAAUUACACAAUAUAGCAUGACUUAUCUGUAUAUAUUUGAAAUAUAAUAUUCUUUUAUAAGUGUUAUUACAAUUUAAAGUUAUAUCAAGUAUAUAUAUUUUUUCAUAUUAGGUUAAUUCAUUUUAUUAUAUUUUAUAAAUAGAUUUAAACUUUUUCUUGCAUUAUUUUAAAAUAAAAUUAGAGUAAAGGAAAUGUAAAAUAUAUGAACAAAUUUAAUUUUAGUGUUUUUAUUUGAUUAAGAAAUAAACAAGAAAUAAAAUUUUAUACUUUUUAUUUUUAAAAACGAAUUUUCAUUUUGCUCAACCGAAAGCCUUUUCAAAGUGAUCAUUGUCAAGAGUAUGGGCAACCAAAGGCAGCUAGAGGUUUAGUUGUAGUGUGUAGCAUGUGCAAAGACUUUGAAUUCAAGCCAUAAACGUGCACUACCUCUCUCUCCCUUAGUUGCAUUUGUCAUGUUCUCUUGUGAUGAUCUCCUUUAGAUGCUUAGACCCUUUGGGUCACGUGAACUAGUGGCAAGAAAAAUGAAUUGAUUUCAUGAUGGAGAGUGUAGGGACCCCUCCCCUUGGGAAACACGUGGCACGCGGCUCAUGGUGACGCGUGGCACGUGCUGUCAGCCGGACCAUCAUCAUCCGGAUUCCCCUACAGAUACGUAUGGUGCGACUAUCCUAUCCGGAACCCCCCAAGGAAAGACAAACAACGUUUCAGCUUCUCCUAUCCAAGGAAGAGCAAACGACGCUGGCAGAACGUAGACACCCGGAUAGUCUCCACAAACACAUCCGGAUAUUCAGCAUGAUCCAUCCGGAUAUAAAUCGUCUGGAUGGUCAAUUAAAGUAAAGCGAGUCUUACACGCAAUCACAACAAGCAGCCAUGGCCCACAUCCCAUCACCUGCAGAAUGAGAAGACAAGAGGAAGUGACAGCAAGUCACUUCCCACGAUCAUUCUGCAUAAUCGCUUCCCACGAUCUCUGACAGCCGCAUCACCUACCAUGGUCUCUGACAGCCAUUCGUAGGAUGAUAGUGCUCCUACUAACACCUAUUGUCAUCAUCACAACAGAAAAUAUCUCCCCACCAUUAAUGAGAGGAACAGUACCCCUGAAGCUGUAUAUAUAUGACUUCACACGAAGAAGAAAGGGAUGAUCUCCCGGUAACCUCUUGACACCUAGUAAAAGGCCAACUGCCUCAUAUAUCUUAUUCUCUUAUCAUGGCUAACAACAUCAUCGGAGGGUGCAUCCGGACACCUUGUCCGGAUGCCUUUUUACAGGUACAACCACUGAAUCAAGAACCCCUUGUGUGUUGAGAAUCGCGUGUCCAUCCAUCUAGCAGCAACGCGGCCCACCUGAUACGCGAGGUGACAACAUUGGCGCCGUCUGUGGGAACCUUUUACUUUUUAUUUUGAUUCAGUCACUAGCAAAGAUGGCCACACCUUCCCAAAGUCGAUCAUCUGGUAGAGAGGAAGAAGAUAAUCACGAAUGGCGUCAAGCCAUCGAAAAAAGACAGUUGGCGAGCGAAAAACAGCUAAGAGCUCUCCUCCAGGAGACGGAGAGGUUAAGGGAAGAAAACGCUGUGUUACGCAUUCAAGCCUCAACAUCAAGACCUCCUCGUCGUCAGCGCUCAAAAGGUCAAGUGGCGAACUCAAGGCCAGAGCCAGAAUCAAUAUAUCCUGGGUCAACAGGAGCUGUCCCAGGAACAUACAACGCAAGGCCCCAUGAGCCACGCACACCCAUGCCUCGAGCUCCCCGUGAGGAAAGCUCAGAUUCCACUCAUUUCUCAGCAAAAAGACAACGUGAUAGAAAAUCACAGUUGUCAAGUUCUAUGCGCGCAAGACUAGACCCACAGGAGCCUGGGAGAUCAAGGCCACCAGUAGCCACAACUCGGGCGCCACGCCCCGAUCCUAUGAUUGCUCCCAUGGUGCAGAACGUACCUCCGCAUCGUGACCCCAUGGUCACCCCAGCGAUGCGGAACGUUCACUCACACCUAGCGGAACGAUCACUCACACCUAGCGGAACGACCAGCUGGGAGAAACCUCCCAAACGAGCCACCCAUUGGCUCCAUCAGCAAAAGGCUGGAUGACAUGCUCUCCACGCCCUUUUGCUCUCAUAUCACCCAUUACGAGCCCCCAAGAGGAUUUCUCGUACCAAAGUUUUCCACAUACGAUGGGACCAACGAUCCCUUCGAUCACAUCAUGCACUAUCGACAGCUUAUGACGCUCGAUAUUGGCAACGAUGCAUUAUUAUGCAAAGUAUUCCUUGCCAGCCUUCAAGGGCAGGCCCUUUCAUGGUUUCAUCGCCUACCUCCUAACUCUGUUGACAAUUUUAGGGACCUCUCUGAAGCAUUCGUGGGACAGUACUUAUGCUCUGCUCGACACAAGCAGAAUAUCAGCACCCUCCAGAACAUAAAAAUGAAAGACAACGAAUCCUUGAGGGAAUUUGUGAAACGAUUUGGCCAAGCCGUACUCCAAAUAGAGGUUUGCAGCAUGGACGCUGUCCUACAGAUCUUCAAAAGAAGCAUCUGUCCAGGCACCCCAUUUUUCGAAUCGCUGGCAAAAAAACCUCCUACAACGAUGGACGAUUUGUUCAGACGCGCUAACAAAUAUUCAAUGCUCGAAGAUGACGUACGUGCAGCCACUCAGCAAGUUUUGGUUGCCGGACGGGCUUCUAGAGAUAACGUGGACAGACAUGCCAAACCUCCGGACCGGCCAAAACCAAUUGACCGGAGGCAGGACGGGCCGAGUCGUCCGGAUAGGCCGUCCAUCACACCCCUAUCCAUAUCAUACGAAAAACUUCUCCCAAUGAUCCAAGGGUUGUCCGACUUCAGGUGGCCUAGACCCCUCGAAACGGACCCAUCUAUAAGAGACCGCAGCAAGAAAUGCGCCUUCCACAAAGACCAUGGUCAUACAACAAAGACAUGUCGGUCCCUCCAGUAUCUAGUUGAGAGGCUCAUCAAAGCAAGACAUUUAAAACAGUACCUCCCCUCAGAUACUGGAGGAAGGGACGCAUCACAGCAUCAUAACUCUGGGGCCCCGAGGGCCCCAGUCGCCCCCAAGGCUGUCAUAAACUAUAUCAACGGGGGCCCAUCUGACGAGGAAUACGAUUCCAGGCGGAAAAGACAGAAAUUGCUGCGAGCCGCGUCAAUACGCGAACGCAUUAAUUCCAUCCGGCCGGGUCUUACUGGGGAGGGCCCUCGCCCCAUUGAUGGGACAAUCAUUUUCCCACCAGUAGAUCCCACCCGAACGCUACAGCCACAUCGCGACGCCCUCAUCCUCUCUCUAGAAAUAGGAGAUUUUGAUGUAAGACGUAUCUUGGUUGAUCCAGGCAGUUCAGCCGAUCUAGUACAAGCAUCAGUCAUUGGCCAUAUGGGACAUAGUCCCGCGGGUCUCGAAAACCCCGGACGAAUCUUAUCCGGAUUCAACGGAUCAUCAACAACAUCCUUAGGAGACAUUAUACUGCCGAUUCGAGCUGGACCAGUCACUCUCAACGUGCAAUUCUCGGUGGUACAAGAGUUGUCACCCUUCAAUGUCAUCUUGGGACGCACAUGGCUUCACUACAUGAAAGCCAUCCCUUCCACAUAUCAUCAAAUGGUGAGUUUCCUCACCAACGAAGGGCAAACUGACUUGUAUGGCAGCCAGUUAGCCGCUCGCCAGUGCUACCAAAUAGCACGUGAAGCAGUCGCUAACCAGGAGGAUGCAUCUCCCCCUGAACCUAGCAUUGCGCACGACCAAUAGCAAUUAUUGGGUCCGGUGGACAAGGAUCCCCCGGUAGCAGAUCCCUUACAAACAAUCCAAAUCUCAGAAGAGAAUGAUCACCUCACAAACGUCAGUUCCCUCAUGACACAAGAAGAAACCCAGAGCAUACAAAAUAUCCUUCGAAGCAACCAUGACAUCUUCGCAUGGACACAUUCGGAUAUGAAGGGAAUUCAUCCCUCUAUCGCCUCUCACAAGCUUAACGUCCUUCCAGCAGCCAGACCCAUUCGACAGAAGAUUAGACGCUUUCACCCGGAUAGACAAAGAGUUAUCCAAGAUGAAAUUAACAAAUUGUUGGAAGCAGGAUUCAUCAGAGAGGUAUCUUAUCCGGAUUGGUUGGCAAAUGUAGUAGUGGUACCAAAGAAAGAGGGCAAAUGGCGAGUCUGUGUUGAUUACACCAAUCUCAAUAAUGCAUGCCCAAAAGACAGUUUUCCCUUACCACGGAUAGAUCAAAUUGUGGAUUCCACUUCCGGGCAAGGGAUGCUCUCUUUCUUGGAUGCCUUCUCCGGAUAUCACCAAAUUCCCAUGUCUCCGGAUGACGAAGAAAAAACAGCAUUCAUAACGCCACACGGCCUCUAUUGCUACAAAGUCAUGCCAUUCGGACUCAAAAACGCUGGCGCCACGUAUCAAAGAUUGAUGACUAAAAUCUUCAAACCUCUGAUAGGCCGCUCGGUCGAGGUAUACAUUGACGAUAUCGUGGUUAAAAGCAAAACUCGAGAGCAGCAUAUCCUCCAUCUACAAGAAGUAUUUUACCUCUUGCGAAAGUACGACAUGAAGCUAAAUCCUUCCAAAUGUGCCUUUGGCGUGAGUGCUGGCAAGUUUCUGGGAUUUAUGGUCAGCCAAAGAGGCAUAGAAGUCAGCCCGGAUCAAGUCAAAGCAGUCAUGGAGACACCUCCCCCCAGGAACAAAAAGGAGUUACAACGCCUCACAGGCAAGCUCGUUGCGUUAGGACGUUUUAUAGCCCGCUUCACUGAUGAGUUGCGACCCUUCUUCUUAGCGAUACGAAAAGCUGGAACCCAGGGAUGGACGGACAAUUGCCAAAACGCGUUGGAAAGAAUUAAACAUUGUCUUAUGCAUCCACCCAUCUUGAGCAGCCCCAUCCCAAAGGAAAAGCUAUAUAUGUAUUUAGCUGUCUCAGAAUGGGCAAUCAGCACCGCUCUAUUCCGCUGCCCUUCACCAAAGGAGCAGAAACCUGUCUACUAUGUCAGCAGGGCAUUGGCAGAUGUAGAAACCAGGUAUUCAAAAAUGGAGCUAACAGCCUUAGCUCUUCGAAGUGCUGCCCAAAAGCUCCGCCCCUAUUUUCAAGCCCACCCAGUGAUUGUACUGACCGAUCAACCCCUUCGCAGCAUUCUACACAAACCAGAUUUAACUGGGCGAAUGCUACAAUGGGCCAUCGAAUUGAGCGAAUUUGGAAUCGAAUUCCAACCCAGAUUAUCCAAAAAAGGCCAAGUAAUGGCCGACUUUGUGCUCGAAUAUUCACGAAGACCCAACCAGCACCACGAAUCAAGUGAACAGGAGUGGUGGACACUACGAGUUGACGGAGCCUCGCGCUCAUCAGGCUCUGGAGUUGGGCUCGUAUUACAGUCCCCAACUAGGGAACAUCUGGAGCAAACCAUCCGGUUGGGAUUCUCCGCGUCUAACAAUGAGGCAGAAUACGAGGCCAUCCUGUCCGGAUUGGACCUCGCCCUUGCUCUAUCUGUCUCCAAACUCCGGAUCUACAGCGACUCGCAACUAGUGGUAAGGCACAUCCAGAAAGAAUAUGAGGCUAAGGACUCACGCAUGGCGCGAUACUUGGCCAAAGUAAGAAGCACCUUACAGCAAUUCACCGAGUGGACAAUCGAAAAAAUUAAGCGAGCUGACAAUAGGCACGCUGACGCUUUGGCCGGCAUAGCUGCCUCUCUACCUAUCAAAGAAGCCAUUCUAUUGCCCAUAUAUGUGCAAGCCAAUCCCUCUGUCGCAGAAAAUUCCACUUGCAACACCAUUGAGGCAACCCAAACGGAUAAUCAAGAAUGGACGCAGGAUAUUGCAGAAUAUAUCCGGACAGGCACUUUACCCAAAGAUCUUAAACAAGCACACAAAAUCCGGGUGCAGGCUGCCCGCUUCACCCUGAUCGGGGGANNNNNNNNNNNNNNNNNNNNNNNNNNNNNNNNNNNNNNNNNNNNNNNNNNNNNNNNNNNNNNNNNNNNNNNNNNNNNNNNNNNNNNNNNNNNNNNNNNNNNNNNNNNNNNNNNNNNNNNNNNNNNNNNNNNNNNNNNNNNNNNNNNNNNNNNNNNNNNNNNNNNNNNNNNNNNNNNNNNNNNNNNNNNNNNNNNNNNNNNNNNNNNNNNNNNNNNNNNNNNNNNNNNNNNNNNNNNNNNNNNNNNNNNNNNNNNNNNNNNNNNNNNNNNNNNNNNNNNNNNNNNNNNNNNNNNNNNNNNNNNNNNNNNNNNNNNNNNNNNNNNNNNNNNNNNNNNNNNNNNNNNNNNNNNNNNNNNNNNNNNNNNNNNNNNNNNNNNNNNNNNNNNNGAGUCCGGACUGUAGAUCGCGCGUCAAACGCGGCUUCUUGAGGGGAGGCCCUUUCACCAGGACUAUAGCCAGGCGAUCCGGGUCGUCGGAAGGCUGACUUUGGCUUUCUGCUCCCGCUUCCUCCAACGGGGCCGUUUCAGCUGCAUCAGCAUCCGGAUUAAGGUUGCCCGGACGGUUGAUAGAUGCAGCUUCCUCAGCCACGUUAGCCAGACGCGCAGCCGCGACCAAGGAAGGACCUGAGUGAUUCAACCCCGACAUGCGUCCGGGGCCGCUUGAGAUAGAGUGCGGAGCAGCAUUUACUGGCUCCUCUAUCAUUACUUCCCCCUCAUAGGUAGUUUGGGGAGGAGGAAACUGCUUGGGAGGAGUGGGUUCCUUCAUGUCCUUCCCAUGCUUCUUCACCAGCUUCCCCCUUUUUCCUGAAGUUUUCUUUGGAGGAGAGUCCGGACCCCGCUUCUGUCCGGGAGCCUUCCGGAUAGUGCCUUCAGUUUUUUUCUGAUCUCUAUCCUCCAGGAGCUUUCGCCGCCUUUCAGCGUCAGCCUCUUUGGCUUCCUGACAGAGGGGGAGCUCCUUCACAGUAUAAUGCUCCCCAGGCACUAUCUCAUCCUUUGCCAAUUUCCUAGGAAGAAUAUUGAUAACAUAUUCCUGGGGCUCCCGGACGACCUCCGUCAAAUUCCGCGCGGAAAGCAAUGUUUUGUAGGCCCUCUCCUUGGGGUCUAUUUCAAAUAAUUUGCAGACGCAGGCAAAGGACGCCUUUUCCACCCAAUCCACAAGGUGGCCCCUCAAUUCCAAACCUGCAUUGUCAGCAACAAAGGGUGAGAAUUCUGUCCGGAAAAAUCAGAAAAAAUCAGCAAAGCAAAAUCCGAAUAAAAAAUCGCAAAACAAGAUUACCCGGGAUUUGUAAGGUAUAAUUCGGAGAAAAAGGCCUCGACGGAUGCUGCGAUAGCCCCGCCCAUCCACCCCAGACUGCCACCAGCCCCUUCGCCCCUCCCUUUGUCGAAUCUGGCAGUUCUGUCACCAUUUGAAGGGAGGGCAGGUGAGCGGACACACUGAAGAUAUCAUUCUUUGCUUUCUUCAGGGAAUAGACAAAGAACAAUUCCAGUAGCGUAAGGUCGAGGCUGUACAGCAUGUUGAUAAUGCUGCAUCCCAUCAGCACCCGGACAAGGUUGGGAUGAAUGAAGAUGGGUGGAAUCUGAGAGAAGUGGAGGAAUUCCUUGAACAAGGCUGGCAGAGGGAACCGGAGCCCCGCGUUGAAUUGUUCCUUUGUGAAGAGGAUAGCGUUUUUUCCACCUUUCUCAGUAGGAAUAGCCGCCUCCUCGUUCACCAGGUCUAUCAAUACGUCAUGGGGGAUGCGGAAUCGCUCCCGGAACUCCUUCGCAUUUANNNNNNNNNNNNNNNNNNNNNNNNNNNNNNNNNNNNNNNNNNNNNNNNNNNNNNNNNNNNNNNNNNNNNNNNNNNNNNNNNNNNNNNNNNNNNNNNNNNNAAUCUGGCAGUUCUGUCACCAUUUGAAGGGAGGGCAGGUGAGCGGACACACUGAAGAUAUCAUUCUUUGCUUUCUUCAGGGAAUAGACAAAGAACAAUUCCAGUAGCGUAAGGUCGAGGCUGUACAGCAUGUUGAUAAUGCUGCAUCCCAUCAGCACCCGGACAAGGUUGGGAUGAAUGAAGAUGGGUGGAAUCUGAGAGAAGUGGAGGAAUUCCUUGAACAAGGCUGGCAGAGGGAACCGGAGCCCCGCGUUGAAUUGUUCCUUUGUGAAGAGGAUAGCGUUUUUUCCACCUUUCUCAGUAGGAAUAGCCGCCUCCUCGUUCACCAGGUCUAUCAAUACGUCAUGGGGGAUGCGGAAUCGCUCCCGGAACUCCUUCGCAUUUAGUUUAUCUAUCGCCUUUUCGCCAGCCUCGCUGACCCGGACAGACGAAACAGUCUUUUUUGGAGUCAUUUCUUACCACAAAGCCAAAGCAAAAUCUACACGCAAAAACAAUGCAAACGGUCCAGACCAAGCAAUCAGAAAAUACACAAACUCAAAGCAGUCAGAAAAACCCCUCAAAAACCCCUCCAAACAAACAACAAAGUACCAACAUUAAACAAACAAUUGCAAGCGACUUGUUCAAAACAAAGCCAGGAACCAAGUUUAAAGAACCGGCAAACGCAACCAAAGGAAUGACAAUAGCAAAGAGGUACGUACCAAAUAGAGCUCUGGAGAAGAAAAACGGUUACUCUCUCGGUAUAAAAUCACCGGCAACAAACAAACGAGGUCGUUCGAAGUUUUUCUCAGAAAAGCAAAGGACGCAGAAAAAGUAAGAAGAAGGAAGGCUCUCAAGAGAAUGCAGUAGAAAAAAUACAAAAAGAGGUACAGUGCCCUAUUUAUAGCAGGACAGCCCCUCGGAAAGCCAAACCAACAGCCGUGUUAUCAUUGAAACGACAUAUUGCCUGGGGAUACACAGGGUCGGCGGCUCGCCAUAAAUGCCUUUUUUGGCUUUCGCACCCCCACUCGCCACGUGGCUAAGUUAGACGAAUGGACUUUUUCAAUUUUCAAAAACCCAGUUAUUUUUAACCCGCCCAUUUUUUGGCAAAAUAAGCAAGUUAAAAAGGGGGGCAAUGUAGGGACCCCUCCCCUUGGGAAACACGUGGCACGCGGCUCAUGGUGACGCGUGGCACGUGCUGUCAGCCGGACCAUCAUCAUCCGGAUUCCCCUACAGAUACGUAUGGUGCGACUAUCCUAUCCGGAACCCCCCAAGGAAAGACAAACAACGUUUCAGCUUCUCCUAUCCAAGGAAGAGCAAACGACGCUGGCAGAACGUAGACACCCGGAUAGUCUCCACAAACACAUCCGGAUAUUCAGCAUGAUCCAUCCGGAUAUAAAUCGUCUGGAUGGUCAAUUAAAGUAAAGCGAGUCUUACACGCAAUCACAACAAACAGCCAUGGCCCACAUCCCAUCACCUGCAGAAUGAGAAGACAAGAGGAAGUGACAGCAAGUCACUUCCCACGAUCAUUCUGCAUAAUCGCUUCCCACGAUCUCUGACAGCCGCAUCACCUACCAUGGUCUCUGACAGCCAUUCGUAGGAUGAUAGUGCUCCUACUAACACCUAUUGUCAUCAUCACAACAGAAAAUAUCUCCCCACCAUUAAUGAGAGGAACAGUACCCCUGAAGCUGUAUAUAUAUGACUUCACACGAAGAAGAAAGGGAUGAUCUCCCGGUAACCUCUUGACACCUAGUAAAAGGCCAACUGCCUCAUAUAUCUUAUUCUCUUACCAUGGCUAACAACAUCAUCGGAGGGUGCAUCCGGACACCCUGUCCGGAUGCCUUUUUGCAGGUACAACCACUGAAUCAAGAACCCCUUGUGUGUUGAGAAUCGCGUGUCCAUCCAUCUAGCAGCAACGCGGCCCACCUGAUACGCGAGGUGACAACAGAGAGGUCAUCAUGCUCAUCCUAGUGCCAAUUAACUCAAAACAACUAAGGAUAAUUCUAUGAUGGGGUAAUUAUCGAACAAGGUGAUAUUACAUGAUAAGAAAAAGGUUUAUUUGAUAUCUCAAUAUAAUUUGAUAUUUAGGUUGCUUAAAAAGAUUAAAAUGAGAUUGAAGAAUGAUCCGUCAUUUUCGAAUUGUGUGGCGGGUCGAGUGUGGGGAACAUCAUCCUAAGAGUAAAGCCACGCCAGAGAGAAGUCCCACUGGCACUGAAAUCAAGGCAACUAGAAGAAAAGGCUUCAGUUACGUCGUCAACCGAAAGAGUUGAAGUGAAGCCAUCCAGAUGAGGCAUUAACUGCAAAGAAAAAACAAAACAUGUGGCUGCUUAAUUUCUUGAUAUGGUGGAGCCGCAUGAGGGCAUGAGUUGAGUAUAUAAGUGGAUGCAAGCUUCAUUCCUUGACCAUUAAGCCUCUUUGGGUUACUGAAUACUGAGAGUAGAACCAAAUUGCAAUGGCAAAUUCACCUGUAGUGUGGUUAGCAUCCGUGUGGCUUGUGUCCAAUAUAUUGUCCCUUCCAUUCCUGGAAUUGGGUAUAUCUUCUUGUGGUGGCUCAUGUCAAACACUUAAUGACUGUGAAGGUCAGCUCAUGCAUCGAUGGUAAAUGUAACGACGAUCCCGAGGUCGGGACUCACAUAAAUGGAGGAAGUUCAAUUACCCCUCCACCUCCACCUCCCGGUACCUGCCAGCCCUCCGGAACUCUUGCGUGCAAUGGUGGAAAACCCAAAAAUACCUACACAUGCUCUCCUCCGGUCACCUCCUCCACGCCUGCCGUUCUAACUAACAAUAAUUUUGAAAAAGGAGGGGACGGUGGAGGCCCAUCCACUUGCGACAACAAAUACCAUGACAAUUCAGAGCGCAUCGUAGCAUUGUCAACUGGGUGGUAUAAUGGGGGAUCCCAGUGUGGAAAGAUGAUUAGGAUAACGACUCAAAAUGGGAGGAGCGUGUCACAGUGGUGGAUGAGUGUGAC
rnacentral:lncRNA from 1 species